GGGGAAUAGCCCGGGGAAACCCGGAUUAAUACCGCAUGUGGUCCACGGACCAAAGCCUUCGGGCGCCAGAGGAUGAGCCUGCGUCCCAUUACCUUGUAGGUGGGGUAACGGCCCACCUAGGGAACGAUGGGUAGCUGGUCUGAGAGGAUGAUCAGCCACACUGGGACUGUGACACGGCCCAGACUCCUACGGGAGGCAGCAGUGGGGAAUAUUGCGCAAUGGGGGAAACCCUGACGCAGCCAUGCCGCGUGUGUGAUGAAGGCCCUCGGGUCGUAAAGCACUGUUUGGAGGGAAGAAGUUCUGACGGUACCUCCCAAGAAAGCACCGGCUAACUCCGUGCCAGCAGCCGCGGUAAUACGGAGGGUGCAAGCGUUGCUCGGAAUCACUGGGCGUAAAGGGUACGCAGGCGGAUCGUUAAGUCGGGUGUGAAAGCCCGGGGCUCAACCCCGGAAUUGCGCCCGAUACUGGCGGUCUUGAGUACGGGAGAGGGAUAGCGGAAUUCCUGGUGUAGAGGUGAAAUUCGUAGAUAUCAGGAGGAACACCAGUGGCGAAAGCGGCUUCCUGGCCCGAUACUGACGCUCAUGUACGAAAGCGUGGGGAGCAAACAGGAUUAGAUACCCUGGUAGUCCACGCCGUAAACGAUGAGUGCUAGCUGCCGGAAAUGUCUACCGUUUCGGUGGCGAAGCCAACGCAUUAAGCACUCCGCCUGGGAAGUACGGGCGCAAGGCUAGAACUCAAAGGAAUUGACGGGGGCCCGCACAAGCGGUGGAGCAUGUGGUUUAAUUCGAAGCAACGCGCAGAACCUUACCCAGGCAUGACAUCCCUGGAACCACGUGGAAACAUGUGGGUGCCUACUCACGAAGGAACCGGGUGACAGGUGCUGCAUGGCUGUCGUCAGCUCGUGCUGUGAGGUGUUCGGUUAAGUCCGGCAACGAGCGCAACCCCUGUCGCUAGUUACCAGCAUUCAGUUGGGGACUCUAGCGAGACUGCCGGUGAUAAACCGGAGGAAGGUGGGGAUGACGUCAAGUCCUCAUGGCCCUUAUGUCUGGGGCUACACACGUGCUACAAUGGCGUUUACAGAGGGCUGCGAGACCGCGAGGUGGAGCAAAUCCCAAAAAGGACGCCUCAGUUCGGAUUGGAGUCUGCAACUCGACUCCAUGAAG
rnacentral:rRNA from 1 species